rnacentral:rRNA from 1 species
GACGAACGCUGGCGGCGUGCCUAAUACAUGCAAGUUGAGCGCUGAAGGCUGGUACUUGUGCCAACUGGGUGAGCCGCGCACGGGUGAGUAACGCGUGGGGAAUCUGCCUUUGAGCGGGGGACAACAUUUGGAAACGAAUGCUAAUACCGCAUAAAAACUUUAAACACAAGUUUUAAGUGUGAAAGAUGCCAUUGCAUCACUCAAAGGUGAUCUCGCGGUGUAUUAGCUAGUUGGUGAGGUAAAGGCACACCAACGCGGGGGUACAUAGACGACCUGAGAGGGUGGUCUGGCACACUUGGACGGGUGAACGGCCAAAACGCCUACGGGAGGCAGCAGAAGGGAAUACUCGACAAAGGAGGAAAGUCUGACCGAGCAACGCCGCAUGAGUGAAGAAGGUUUUCGGAUCGCAAAACUCCGUUGGUAGAGAAGUAAGUUGGUGAGGGUUGAAACCACGUGAAGGUACGGUAACUACCCAGAAAGGCACGGCUAACUACGUG